rnacentral:rRNA from 1 species
AUACAUGCAGUCGAGCGAACAGAUAAGGAGCUUGCUCCUUUGACGUUAGCGGCGGACGGGUGAGUAACACGUGGAUAACCUACCUAUAAGACUGGGAUAACUUCGGGAAACCGGAGCUAAUACCGGAUAACAUAUUGAACCGCAUGGUUCAAUAGUGAAAGGCGGCUUUGCUGUCACUUAUAGAUGGAUCCGCGCCGUAUUAGCUAGUUGGUAAGGUAACGGCUUACCAAGGCAACGAUACGUAGCCGACCUGAGAGGGUGAUCGGCCACACUGGAACUGAGACACGGUCCAGACUCCUACGGGAGGCAGCAGUAGGGAAUCUUCCGCAAUGGGCGAAAGCCUGACGGAGCAACGCCGCGUGAGUGAUGAAGGUCUUCGGAUCGUAAAACUCUGUUAUCAGGGAAGAACAAAUGUGUAAGUAACUGUGCACAUCUUGACGGUACCUGAUCAGAAAGCCACGGCUAACUACGUGCCAGCAGCCGCGGUAAUACGUAGGUGGCAAGCGUUAUCCGGAAUUAUUGGGCGUAAAGCGCGCGUAGGCGGUUUUUUAAGUCUGAUGUGAAAGCCCACGGCUCAACCGUGGAGGGUCAUUGGAAACUGGAAAACUUGAGUGCAGAAGAGGAAAGUGGAAUUCCAUGUGUAGCGGUGAAAUGCGCAGAGAUAUGGAGGAACACCAGUGGCGAAGGCGACUUUCUGGUCUGUAACUGACGCUGAUGUGCGAAAGCGUGGGGAUCAAACAGGAUUAGAUACCCUGGUAGUCCACGCCGUAAACGAUGAGUGCUAAGUGUUA